rnacentral:rRNA from 1 species
AUGGCCGGCGGUGGCGCCGCCGCGUCGGCGCUCUCGAGCCCGUGGAGGGCGCUGCUGCAGCGAGCGUUGGACGCCAACGCGCACCUCAAGCACUCCACCUUCUUCCAGCUCGCCACGGUGGGCGGCGGCGGCAGGCCGGCGAAUCGCACCGUCGUGUUCAGGGGGUUCCAAGAACACUGCGACAAGAUUCAGAUUAACACGGAUGCGCGGAGCAACAAGAUUGGGGAGAUCAAGGAAUGGCCCCUCGGCGAGAUAUGCUGGUAUUUCACUGAUUCCUGGGAGCAAUUCCGUAUCAGCGGUAUCAUAGAUGUGAUUGAUGGUUCCAGUCCGGAUCCUGCCAAGCUCCAGCAACGAGAGAAAGCUUGGUUCGCCAGUUCAGUGAAGUCAAGAUCACAAUACUUAGGACAAAGUCCAGGGGUUCCCGUCGCAAAUGAUGACCACAUUAAGGAUGUUCAUAUCGAUCCAUCAGCUGGCCCAGUUGAUGCCUACUGUCUUCUGACUCUUGAUCCAGAAAAGGUUGAUUAUGUGAACUUGAAAAGUAAUCAGAGAUUGAUGUUCACAAGAACCCAGGAAGGAGAUGAGUCCAGUGACUGGAUGGCCGAAAAAGUUAGCCCAUAA